rnacentral:snRNA from 1 species
AUCAGUUGUCAGCCUUUUGGCUAAGAUCAAGUGUUCUUAUCACUGUAAUAUCUGAUAGGCGCCAAUUCGAGGGCAGCGUAUUAAACACUUCUUCCGUUCGCUCCACGCAUCAACCCGGUAUUGUUGUGCUUCUGGAAACACUGCCCAAUUC